CACUGGUCACAUGACCCUGAUGGGAAACAGGUGGAAAACCACUUGGCCAAAGAUUCUUUCUGAACCAGUUCAGUGUAUACAAUCCCAUGAGGUCAGAGCCCCACUCGGAGAGGUUAUGAAUCUGCAGGUUUCAGGUGAGGCCAUGAAAUGAGUCUUCAGCAAGCUCCCUGUUUAUUCUGAUGCUUCUUCGCCAAGACCCACACUCAGGAGCCCUGAGCUUCAGCCCUCAUACUCAGCACAGCUGAGACCUCUCAGGAGGGAAGGGUUUAGGUCGGGAAUUUCUUGGAGAGGUCAGGCUAGAACCAAGCAGAGAAAGCUCCAGUAGUUGGGGUUCAGGCCUUUCUAAGGGACCCUGGGUGAAGUGCUGUGGGCUCCCCAGGCUGAUCGUGGAUGGGUACAUUCAAACCAAGAGGAGCAGGAUUCUGGUAUAAAGAAGCUCUUCUCCUCAAGCUACUUAAGACUUACAACAGUUUGGUAAUUUACACCUCUGGAUUACUACAGUUUCACAUCAAGAUAAGGGGAAUGCAGAGAUCCCAGCCAAUCCCUGGAACAGAUUCUGAGAGAAUAACACCAGAAGUCACCCUGGGGCCCCUUCAUGAGACAGGGUGAGAGCUCCGUGACCCCAGCAAGGUGGGGUCUAGAGUCCCAUGCCAGCCUGAAGAAGCUCCAGAAGACAGACCUUUGCCCUUCAUCUUCCCAAUAAACAAUUUUAUUUUUCAUGUCUCUCAGAGGGAUUUGAGGUAGGAGAUAGAAGGGCCCCCAGGCUGGAAAGCUGGAGUCUGUCAGGUGGAGUAAAGUUGAAGCUCUGUUCUCACCAGACACUCCAAGGACAAAGCUAGUGGCAGAAGCUGAGCCCUGCUGGGGUCAAGAGAUAAAAUGCCCAUUCCUGAGGACAAGCAAAGCUUCCCUCUCUGUACACGCGCAGGAAGGCUGCUUGGAGCUGAGAAGUCCAUGUGGCCCCAUCCCAUAAGUGUGGACACAUACAACAGGCCUCUGUGGUGGGAUCAGUGUGAGGGAAAGGUGCCCAGGCUUGGUGAGGGCCUUCCCAGGUGGCUCAGCAGUAAAGAAUCUGCCUGAGAUGCAGAAAAGGCAGGAGACGUCACUGGUUGGUUACCUGGCUCAGGAAGAUACCUUGAGGAGGGCCUGGCAACCCAUUCCAGAAUUCCUACCUGGAGAAUCCAACGGACAGAGGAGACUGGCGGGCCACAGUCCAUCGGGUCGCAAAGAGUUGGACACGACUGAAGCGACUGAGCACACACGAGGGCUGGUGGUUAUUAGCUGCCCAGCAGAUGUUUACAGUUGCUUUUACCAGGGUCAGGAUUAAGUCAGAGCCAGAGUCAUACCAGAGUGAGGCCUAAGUACGUACCACGGUCAGGCCUGAGUGUGGACCAGAAUCAGGCCUGAGUGUGGACCAGAGUCAGGCCUGAGUGUGGACCAGAAUCAGGCCUGAGUGUCCACCAGAGUCAGGCCUGAGUGUGGACCAGAAUCAGGCCUGAGUGUGGACCAGAGUCAGGCCUGAGUGUGGACCAGAAUCAGGCCUGAGUGUCCACCAGAGUCAGGCCUCAGCGUGGACCAGAAUCAGGCCUGAGUGUCCACCAGAAUCAGGCCUCAGUGUGGACAAGAGACAGGCCUCAGUGUGUACCAGAGUCAGGCCUUGUUGUGCACCAGAGUCAGGCCUCAGUGUGCACCCAAGUCAGGCCUCAGUGUGACCAGAGUCAGGCCCGAGUGUGACCAGCAUCAGGCCUGAGUGUUUCCAGAGUCAGGCCUCAGUGUGACCAGAGUCAGGCCUGAGUGUGACCAGCAUCAGGCCUGAGUGUGCACCAGAGUCAGUCCUGAGUGUGGAACUGAGUCUUCCUGAUGCUUGACUAUUACUCACUUAGGUCUCACUCUGGUCUACACCAAGGCCUGACUCUUGUACCCACUCAGGCCAGACUCAGGUCCACACUAAGGCAUGGUUCUGGUCCACACUCAGGCCUGACUCGAAACCACUGAAGACCUGACUCUCGUCCACUUUCAGGGCUGACUGGUCCACGUUAAGCCUGACUCUGGCUCACACUGAGGCCUGACUGUGGUUCUCACUGAGGCCUCAUACUGUCCCACACUACAGCCUGACUCUAGUCCACACUUAGGCCUGAGUCUGGUCCUCAAUUAGGCCUGACUCUGGUCAAGGCUAAGGCCUGGUUCCACACUAGGGCCUGAAUCUGCUGCUCACUAAGGCCUGUACAUCAUAAAUCAGUUCAACCCCAAAUAAGUUAUAAUCAGAGCUGGCAUGAGCUUAGUCAGAAACUGACAGAAAAUUUCAGAGCUAUUAUCCAGCAAUAAAAAAUAAAUUAAAAAAAUCAUAUAUGUGUGUAAACUUUCAGUGAUUGGGCUCCAUGCCUGCAGAGAGAGCUAGAGAAAAAGUAAUAUUUUAGAAGACAGCCACACCCCAGCGAUAUCGGCAGCUCUAGGUUCAAUAACCAAGACAGCGAA